GUCAGUUUAGUAUAGACACUUACGUCGGACUUUCAAACCGAAAACACUAACUCAAAUGUAACUGACC
rnacentral:tRNA from 1 species